GCCACAAGAAAUUUCAUAGAGACAUGCAACCUCUAAAUGGUUAUGGUUAUGUCGAUCAAGGCACAAAGCAUGAAGUCAAAAGCGAGAUAUAGAGAAAGAUAACAGCACCAAAUGCGAAAGAGUAUAUAGUUCAUGGGGAGACCAAACCACCGAACUAAAAUAAAAGUUGCUCAAAUGUUCAACAUAAUCAGUCACCAGUACCAAAACACAUGUAAGCAGCAGAGCAAGAUCUUAUACUUUUCAGUGUGAGUGUCGAUUUGGACAAGCCUAUGUUACCAUCUCAACUUUGCAUAUUCAAAAUCAGGAAUAACUGAAACAGCUUGAGAGCAUACUUAAGGCUAGAGAGAGAAAAAAGCUAACCAGGGUCGCAUUGCUGGAAAAAAUCUUCCACAUCUGCAAAAAAAAGAAAUUAAUUGUUCUUAAUUCGAAGAACUAAGCAUCAUCAACACAAUCCAUAACACUAGAGCACAAUUGUUGAAAAAGGGUCUAAAUAAAGCCACCAAACGAUCGUCAUGAGAAGAAUUCCCACGAAAAACUCAAAACCCAUAAGAAAAGUUUCAAACUUUAAAAAGCAAAGAGAAGAAAGAAGAGACCAGUGGUGAGAGCUUGGAUGAUG